rnacentral:rRNA from 1 species
GUCCACGCCCUAAACGAUGUCAACUAGGUGUUGGAUGGGUAAAACCAUUUAGUACCGGAGCUAACGCGUGAAGUUGACCGCCUGGGGAGUACGGCCGCAAGGUUAAAACUCAAAGGAAUUGACGGGGACCCGCACAAGCGGUGGAUGAUGUGGAUUAAUUCGAUGCAACGCGAAAAACCUUACCUACCCUUGACAUGUUCAGGAUCCCGGAGAGAUUUGGGAGUGCCCGAAAGGGAACUGGAACACAGGUGCUGCAUGGCUGUCGU